GGCGUGAUAGUGGUUCAGUGGUUAGCAUGCUUGCCUCGUACCUGCAGGGUUGUGGGCUCGAGUCCCGCCCCUGCCC